CCAUAAUUGAAGCCUGACUUUGAAUGAAAGUCGUUGUCUUCAAAUGUCCACGAAUCAGCAGAUGUGAUAAAAUGUUGUCACCAGGUGUGAGUCAAGACCAUCAAUUCCUCUGGCCGCAAGGGGGCCUUCGAGCGGAAAAGUUGACUCACCUUACAGUGAUGCUGAAGCUGGACGAAGCCAUCAUAGCCGUACCUCUGAAAUGCAUACACACUAUUGGAGUUUUCAGAACAUUUUAGCUACUAAUUUGGAAUAUGAAAUCAUUUCCAGUAUAUUUUCACAUGUGUUCCUUUGCAUGCAGCAGCCUCAAUUAAUUACAUAGUAUAUUACAUGCAAAAAAACAAAAACAAACA